rnacentral:lncRNA from 1 species
AUCAUUAUCAUUCACACUAUUUACAUUACUAUCUACGGGAGGACUGUCAUCUUCUUGCCCAGAGCCCCUCGUACCAACAAAAGGUAUGAUCUCCUGCCCUCGAGGCCCAGCGUCUUCAUCCCCUUGCUUGGGUUCUGCCUCAGAGGACCCAGCUACAGUGCGAGAGGUUCCUUUGGGUAAGGGCAGAUCAUCCUCACCAUAUAACACGUCCUCACCAUCGGAGUCCACCUCAGCAGCUCGGAGCUUUGAUAGAGGGGUAGAAAGAGCAAGUCUGGAAUCUCUCAAACCCCUAUUGAAAC